rnacentral:rRNA from 1 species
GACGAACGCUGGCGGCGUGCCUAAUACAUGCAAGUCGAACGGUGAGGCAGGAGCUUGCUUCUCUGGAUGAGUUGCGAACGGGUGAGUAACGCGUAGGUAACCUGCCUGGUAGCGGGGGAUAACUUUUGGAAACGAUAGCUAAUACCGCAUAAUAGUAGAUGUUGCAUGACAUUUGCUUAAAAGGUGCAAUUGCAUCACUACCAGACGGGCCUGCGUUGUAUUAGCUAGUUGGUGGGGUAACGGCACACUAUGGCGAGGAAACAUAGUCGGCCUGAGAGGGUGGUCGGCCGGACUGAGAGUGAGACCGGGCCCAUACUCCUUCGGGAAGGGGCCAUAGGGAAACUGCGGGAAUUGGCGGAAAACUUUCCGCGAUACGCCGCGGGAUGGAAGAAGGUUGUCGGGUCCGAAAGCUCGGUUUUCAGGGAAGAACCAGCUUUAGACUGUAAAGUUCACACUGUGACGGUAUCUUACAAGAAAGAGACGGCUAACUACGUG